AACGCACGAGACCUGCGGACCUGCGGAGGGAUCAUUAGCAAGAUCGACCCGAAAUAUGGACGAUCAAAUCCAUAUCCACCUUGUGUGCACCUAUUGACCGUUCGCUUUGGCAGGAGUCGUCUUCGAUUCCCCGGAAGGGGAUCUCGAAGCGCGAAGGGAGGUGUUCCCGAUAGAGAGCGCGUACCCUGGCCUGCCAGAGUUUUUUCCCCUUUUCAAAGGGAAAAAGAUCCACACUUCAUU
rnacentral:misc_RNA from 1 species